rnacentral:rRNA from 1 species
GAACUGAAGAGUUUGAUCAUGGCUCAGAUUGAACGCUGGCGGCAGGCCUAACACAUGCAAGUCGAGCGGAUGAGGAGAGCUUGCUCUCUGAUUCAGCGGCGGACGGGUGAGUAAUGCCUAGGAAUCUGCCUGGUAGUGGGGGACAACGUUUCGAAAGGAACGCUAAUACCGCAUACGUCCUACGGGAGAAAGUGGGGGAUCUUCGGACCUCACGCUAUCAGAUGAGCCUAGGUCGGAUUAGCUAGUUGGUGGGGUAACGGCUCACCAAGGCGACGAUCCGUAACUGGUCUGAGAGGAUGAUCAGUCACACUGGAACUGAGACACGGUCCAGACUCCUACGGGAGGCAGCAGUGGGGAAUAUUGGACAAUGGGCGAAAGCCUGAUCCAGCCAUGCCGCGUGUGUGAAGAAGGCCCUCGGGUCGUAAAGCACUUUAAGCUGGGAGGAAGGGUUGUAACCUAAUACGUUGCAGCUUUGACGUUACCAGCAGAAUAAGCACCGGCUAACUCUGUGCCAGCAGCCGCGGUAAUACAGAGGGUGCAAGCGUUAAUCGGAAUUACUGGGCGUAAAGCGCGCGUAGGUGGCUUGGUAAGUUGAAUGUGAAAUCCCCGGGCUCAACCUGGGAACUGCAUCCAAAACUGCCUGGCUAGAGUACGGUAGAGGGUGGUGGAAUUUCCUGUGUAGCGGUGAAAUGCGUAGAUAUAGGAAGGAACACCAGUGGCGAAGGCGACCACCUGGACUGAUACUGACACUGAGGUGCGAAAGCGUGGGGAGCAAA